GGGUCGGUGGCGUAGUUGGUUAUCGCAUCUGUCUAACAUCACGACUCAGAAUGCGUGCACAGAAGGUCCUCAGUUCGAACCUGGGCCGACUCA